GACGAACGCUGGCGGCGUGCCUAAUACAUGCAAGUCGAACGCAGUGGGGACGGGUGAGUAACACGUGGGUAACCUCCCAUCAGAGGGGAUAACACUUGGAAACAGGUGCUAAACCGAUACUGAUGGAUGGACCCGCGGUGCAUUAGCGAGUUGGUGAGGUAACGGCUCACCAAGGCCACGAUGCAUAGCCGUCCUGAGAGAGUGAUCGCCCACACUGGGACUGAGACACGGCCCAGACUCCUACGGGAGGCAGCAGUAGGGAAUCUUCGGCACUGGACGAAAGUCGGACCAAGCAACGCCGCGUGAGUGAAGAAGGUUUGCGGUUCUAAAAACUCUGUUGUUAGAGAAGCGUUACCUAACCAGAAAGCCACGGCUAAUUACGGGCCAGAGCCGCGGUAAUUC
rnacentral:rRNA from 1 species